rnacentral:rRNA from 1 species
UACGAAGGGUGCAAGCGUUACUCGGAAUUACUGGGCGUAAAGCGUGCGUAGGUGGUUUGUUAAGUCGGAUGUGAAAUCCCCGGGCUCAACCUGGGAAUUGCAUUCGAUACUGGAUAGCUAGAGUUCGGCAGAGGGAAGUGGAAUUUCGGGUGUAGCGGUGAAAUGCGUAGAUAUCCGAAGGAACAUCAGUGGCGAAAGCGACUUCCUGGACCAGAACUGACGAUCAGGCACGAAAGCGUGGGAAGCAAACAGG